rnacentral:rRNA from 1 species
AUUGAACGCUGGCGGCAGGCCUAACACAUGCAAGUCGAGCGGAGCGGCGGACGGGUGAGUAAUGCCUAGGAAUCUGCCUGGUAGUGGGGGAUAACGUCCGGAAACGGGCGCUAAUCCCGCAUACUCUCAGCUGAGCCUAGGUCGGAUUAGCUUGUUGGUGGGGUAACGGCACACCAAGGCUACGAUCCCUAUCUGGUCUGAGUGGAUGACCAGCCACACUGGAAGUGAGACACGGUCCAGACUCCUACGGGAGGCAGCAGUGGGGAAUAUUGCACAAUGGGCGAAAGCCUGAUGCAGCCAUGCCGCGUGUGUGAAGAAGGCCUUCGGGGUGUAAAGUACUUUCAGCGGGGAGGCGUUACCCGCAGAAGAAGCACCGGCUAACUCCGUGCCAGCAGCCGCGGUAAUUC